rnacentral:rRNA from 1 species
AUUGAACGCUGGCGGCAUGCCUUACACAUGCAAGUCGAACGGCAGCAUGGAGAGCUUGCUCUCUGAUGGCGAGUGGCGAACGGGUGAGUAAUGCAUCGGAACGUACCGUGUAAUGGGGGAUAACGUAGCGAAAGUUACGCUAAUACCGCAUACGACCUGAGGGUGAAAGCAGGGGAUCGCAAGACCGUUCGUUAUACGAGCGGCCAAUGUCAGAUUAGCUAGUGGGUGAGGUAAAGGCUCACCAAGGCGACGAUCUGUAGCGGGUCUGAGAGGAUGCUCCGCCACACUGGGACUGAGACACGGCCCAGACUCCUACGGGAGGCAGCAGUGGGGAAUUUUGGACAAUGGGGGCAACCCUGAUCCAGCCAUGCCGCGUGAGUGAAGAAGGCCUUCGGGUUGUAAAGCUCUUUCGGCCGGGAAGAAAUCGCACAGGCUAAUACUCUGUGUGGAUGACGGUACCGGCAUAAGAAGCACCGGCUAACUACGUGCCAGCAGCCGCAGUAA